AUACCAUGAACUCUGUUCACCAGAGAGCUGCUCAUAGAAUCAAGUGGGGUUAGGAAUUUCUGGAUAACAUGAUAACUCCUGAGAUUAGUGGCACAGUGAGAUGGGUUUAGCCUUGUCUCACUCCCCAAUCCCAUCCUCUAACCCCACACUACCCCAGCCAUUCCCAUCAUCCCAUGCUUCUCUUCCUACCUAAUUGGGUACAGAAUGAGAAAAACAACACCACCAAAAAAUAGAACCUCUUUAAUAAUUUCAGCAUGAUUAGAAAGAAUGCAGUCUACCCAAGCGGGACUACUGUGAAGGAGAUAACAUUCGUUUGAAAAUGAUACUUGGAAGUGGGAUAAAGAUCACUUUCAGAAAGGAGUACACCAAAAAAAUUCCCACCCAAGGUGUCAAU
rnacentral:lncRNA from 1 species